rnacentral:rRNA from 1 species
UACGGAGGGUGCAAGCGUUGCUCGGAAUCAUUGGGCGUAAAGCGUGCGCAGGCUGUUCGUCAAGUCGGGUGUGAAAGCCCGGGGCUCAACCCCGGAACGGCGCCCGAAACUGGCGAGCUUGAGUGCGGGAGAGGGAAGCGGAAUUCCUGGUGUAGAGGUGAAAUUCGUAGAUAUCAGGAGGAACACCGGUGGCGAAAGCGGCUUCCUGGCCCGACACUGACGCUCAUGUACGAAAGCGUGGGGAGCAAACAGG